rnacentral:rRNA from 1 species
GAGCUUGCUCCCGGAUGUUAGCGGCGGACGGGUGAGUAACACGUGGGUAACCUGCCUGUAAGACUGGGAUAACUCCGGGAAACCGGAGCUAAUACCGGAUAGUUCCUUGAACCGCAUGGUUCAAGGAUGAAAGACGGUUUCGGCUGUCACUUACAGAUGGACCCGCGGCGCAUUAGCUAGUUGGUGAGGUAACGGCUCACCAAGGCGACGAUGCGUAGCCGACCUGAGAGGGUGAUCGGCCACACUGGGACUGAGACACGGCCCAGACUCCUACGGGAGGCAGCAGUAGGGAAUCUUCCGCAAUGGACGAAAGUCUGACGGAGCAACGCCGCGUGAGUGAUGAAGGUUUUCGGAUCGUAAAGCUCUGUUGUUAGGGAAGAACAAGUGCAAGAGUAACUGCUUGCACCUUGACGGUACCUAACCAGAAAGCCACGGCUAACUACGUGCCAGCAGCCGCGGUAAUACGUAGGUGGCAAGCGUUGUCCGGAAUUAUUGGGCGUAAAGGGCUCGCAGGCGGUUUCUUAAGUCUGAUGUGAAAGCCCCCGGCUCAACCGGGGAGGGUCAUUGGAAACUGGGAAACUUGAGUGCAGAAGAGGAGAGUGGAAUUCCACGUGUAGCGG